rnacentral:rRNA from 1 species
GAUUCCUACGGGGCGCAGCAGUGGGGAAUAUUGCACAAUGGGGGGAACCCUGAUGCAGCGACGCCGCGUGAGUGAAGAAGUAUUUCGGUAUGUAAAGCUCUAUCAGCAGGGAAGAAAAUGACGGUACCUGACUAAGAAGCCCCGGCUAACUACGUGCCAGCAGCCGCGGUAAUACGUAGGGGGCAAGCGUUAUCCGGAUUUACUGGGUGUAAAGGGAGCGUAGACGGUUAUGCAAGUCUGAAGUGAAAGCCCAAGGCUCAACCAUGGGACUGCUUUGGAAACUGGAAAA